rnacentral:rRNA from 1 species
GAUGAACGCUGGCGGCGUGCCUAAUACAUGCAAGUCGAGCGAACAGAUGAGGAGCUUGCUCCUCUGACGUUAGCGGCGGACGGGUGAGUAACACGUGGAUAACCUACCUAUAAGACUGGGAUAACUUCGGGAAACCGGAGCUAAUACCGGAUAAUAUAUUGAACCGCAUGGUUCAAUAGUGAAAGACGGUUUUGCUGUCACUUAUAGAUGGAUCCGCGCCGCAUUAGCUAGUUGGUAAGGUAACGGCUUACCAAGGCGACGAUGCGUAGCCGACCUGAGAGGGUGGUCGGCCACACUGGAACUGAGACACGGUCCAGACUCCUACGGGAGGCAGCAGUAGGGAAUCUUCCGCAAUGGGCGAAAGCCUGACGGAGCAACGCCGCGUGAGUGAUGAAGGUCUUCGGCUCGUAAAACUCUGUUAUUAGGGAAGAACAAAUGUGUAAGUAACUAUGCACGUCUUGACGGUACCUAAUCAGAAAGCCACGGCUAACUACGUG